rnacentral:rRNA from 1 species
UACGUAGGCAGCAAGCGUUGUUCGGAAUUACUGGGCGUAAAGCGCGCGCAGGCGGCUAUCCAAGUCAGUGGUGAAAGCCCGGAGCUCAACUCCGGAACUGCCAUUGAAACUGUUUAGCUUGAGGAUGAGAGAGGUGAGUGGAAUUCCCAGUGUAGAGGUGAAAUUCGUAGAUAUUGGGAAGAACACCGGUGGCGAAGGCGGCUCACUGGCUCAUUACUGACGCUCAGGCGCGAUAGCGUGGGGAUCAAACAGG